ACAAGCCCUGGAAACGGGGUCUAAUACCGGAUAUGACGCACGACCGCAUGGUCUGUGUGUGGAAAGCCCCGGCGGUGCAGGAUGAGCCCGCGGCCUAUCAGCUUGUUGGUGGGGUAGUGGCCUACCAAGGCGACGACGGGUAGCCGGCCUGAGAGGGCGACCGGCCACACUGGGACUGAGACACGGCCCAGACUCCUACGGGAGGCAGCAGUGGGGAAUAUUGCACAAUGGGCGAAAGCCUGAUGCAGCGACGCCGCGUGAGGGAUGACGGCCUUCGGGUUGUAAACCUCUUUCAGCAGGGAAGAAGCGAGAGUGACGGUACCUGCAGAAGAAGCACCGGCUAACUACGUGCCAGCAGCCGCGGUAAUACGUAGGGUGCGAGCGUUGUCCGGAAUUAUUGGGCGUAAAGAGCUCGUAGGCGGCUUGUCACGUCGGUUGUGAAAGCCCGGGGCUUAACCCCGGGUCUGCAGUCGAUACGGGCAGGCUAGAGUUCGGUAGGGGAGAUCGGAAUUCCUGGU
rnacentral:rRNA from 1 species